CACGUAGGGUGCGAGCGUUGUCCGGAAUUAUUGGGCGUAAAGAGCUCGUAGGUGGUUUGUCGCGUUGUUCGUGAAAACUCACAGCUCAACUGUGGGCGUGCGGGCGAUACGGGCAGACUGGAGUACUGCAGGGGAGACUGGAAUUCCUGGUGUAGCGGUGAAAUGCGCAGAUAUCAGGAGGAACACCGGUGGCGAAGGCGGGUCUCUGGGCCGUAACUGACGCUGGAGGAGCGAAAGCCGUGGGGAGCGAAACAGG
rnacentral:rRNA from 1 species